GUGAAGCAGAGGUCAGGCGAGGCCAAAGCCAAAACGUGUGAGAGAGGUUCCCCUGGCCCUGCCCUCAGCUCAGCCAGAGGGGGCACUUGGGCUUCACAGACUGCUGACACGCUUGAGCAGGGACCAGGGAGCACACAGGCACAAGUGGGUUGAAGGCACCCUGCUUGCCUGUUUCCACUUCCCACUGAGUUUGCAUCUGGCUUGGUCAAGCCAGAGUGCUGGAUUUGCUAUCAUGGCCUUGGGAUUAUUCUGGAGGUUAUAGUCAUAUAUAAGAAGGCAAGAUUGGGCUGGAGCUGGGAAUGGGGCUGGGGCUCAGUGGUGGAACACUUGCCUAGCAUGUGUGAGGCCCUGGGUUCAAUCCUCAGCACCACAUACAAAUAAAUAAAAUUAAGGUAUUGUGUCCAUCUACAACUAAUAAAAAAAAAAAAAGGUGAGGUUGGGUGUGGUGGCACACACCUGUAAUCCCAGCAUUUUGGGAAGCUGAGGCGGAGGAUUACAAGUUCAAGGAUUGCUAAAUUUCCAGUUUCAGCAACUUAGCAAGACCCUAAGCAACUCAGUGAGACCCUAUCUCUAAAUAAAAAUAUGUAAAAGGGCUGGGAAUGUGGCUCAGUGGUUAAGCAUUUCUGGGCUGAAUCUCCGCUACCAAAAAAAAAGAGGUGAGGUUUUAAAAAUGAACAAGGCAUGCCUGUAACCCCAGUGACUAGGGAGGCUGAGGCAGGAGGACUGCAAGUUCAGGGCCAGCCUCAGCAAUUUAGUGAG
rnacentral:lncRNA from 1 species